rnacentral:tRNA from 1 species
CCUGUGGCGGCUCAGUGGUAAAAGAAUCUGCCUACAAUGCAGGAGACUUGGGUUCAAUCCCAAUCCCUGGG